rnacentral:rRNA from 1 species
AACGAACGCUGGCGGCAUGCCUAACACAUGCAAGUCGAACGAGACCUUCGGGUCUAGUGGCGCACGGGUGCGUAACGCGUGGGAAUCUACCCUUGGGUUCGGAAUAACAGUUAGAAAUGACUGCUAAUACCGGAUGAUGACGUAAGUCCAAAGAUUUAUCGCCCAAGGAUGAGCCCGCGUAAGAUUAGCUUGUUGGUGGGGUAAUGGCCUACCAAGGCGACGAUCUUUAGCUGGUCUGAGAGGAUGAUCAGCCACACUGGGACUGAGACACGGCCCAGACUCCUACGGGAGGCAGCAGUGGGGAAUAUUGGACAAUGGGCGAAAGCCUGAUCCAGCAAUGCCGCGUGAGUGAUGAAGGCCUUAGGGUUGUGAAGCUCUUUUACCAGGGAUAAUAAUGACAGUACCUGGAGAAUAAGCUCCGGCUAACUCCGUGCCAGCCGCCGCGGUAA